CCCUUAGAUGUUCUGGGCUGCACGCGCGCUACACUGAUACAGCCAAAGAGAUAUUUUUGCCUAUCGGCUGAGAGAAAUCUUGUGAAUCUGUAUCGUGAUGGGAACAAACGAUUGCAAUUAUUGAUCUUGAACGAGGAAUUCCUAGUAAGCGCAAGUCAUCAACUUGCGUUGAUUACGUCCCUGCCCUUUGUACACACCGCCCGUCGCUACUGCCAACUGAGAUGGGCCCUGAAUUGUUAGGAACGCCCGUCAAGGGGCCUACCCGGUCCCUAGUGCGGUGACGAGAAUAACUGUAAAUGGCAUAUCUUGUAGGGAGUAAAAGUCGUAACA
rnacentral:rRNA from 1 species